rnacentral:rRNA from 1 species
AUUGAACGCUGGCGGCAGGCCUAACACAUGCAAGUCGAGCGGAUGAAGGGAGCUUGCUCCUGGAUUCAGCGGCGGACGGGUGAGUAAUGCCUAGGAAUCUGCCUGGUAGUGGGGGAUAACGUCCGGAAACGGGCGCUGAUACCGCAUACGUCCUGAGGGAGAAAGUGGGGGAUCUUCGGACCUCACGCUAUCAGAUGAGCCUAGGUCGGAUUAGCUAGUUGGUGGGGUAAAGGCCUACCAAGGCGACGAUCCGUAACUGGUCUGAGAGGAUGAUCAGUCACACUGGAAAUGAGACACGGUCCAGACUCCUAAGGGAGGCAGCAGUGGGGAAUAUUGGACAAUGGGCGAAAGCCUGAUCCAGCCAUGCCGCGUGUGUGAAGAAGGUCUUCGGAUUGUAAAGCACUUUAAGUUGGGAGGAAGGGCAGUAAGUUAAUACCUUGCUGUUUUGACGUUACCAGCAGAAUAAGCACCGGCUAACUUCGUG